AAAAAUUCUAUCAUGGGUUACAAAAAUAAAAAAUAAAAAAUAAAAUUCGAUCAUGGAUUACAAGAAAAAAAAGCAAAUAUUUUGAUCAUAGAUUACAAAAAAUUCGAUCAUAGAUAACAAAAAAUUCUAUCAUGGGCUACAAAAAAAAAAAAAAAUUUAAGUUCUUCACAGAGUCGUUUUACAUAAGCGAUUUUAACUCAAAAAUUCACCUCCAAGUGAAUAAAUUACAUCCAAUUGACUAUAUUUUCUGAUAAACAACAAUAUAAGGAAUCAAAAACCUAAAUUUUUAACACAUUAUUUCUAAUAUAUCAUGAAAACAAAAUCAAAAGGCGGAAAAAAAAAAAAAACAGCGGAAUUUGGUUCCGCAAACAUCUCACUGUUCAUAUCAAAUUUCUUGCUGUAAUUUACCAGAUUACGUAAAAUUGAUAAUUUUAAAUCAUACUAGACACAAUAAAGAUUAAAAACCCUAAUUAUUG
rnacentral:lncRNA from 1 species